GGGACGGUAGCUUAGCCCGGUUUAAAGCGCUGCCCUGUCACGGCAGAGAUCGCGGGUUCGAAUCCCGUCCGUCCCG
rnacentral:tRNA from 1 species